GGUUUGUUCUCCGAAGGUUGUGAACUUGUGGUAGCCACGUUAUACAAAUCUCGAUACAAAUAGCGGCAAGAGGUUUUGAAAUCUUACCUUAGUCAAGCUUAGAUUCAUCAUGUAUCGUAUGCCAGGUGCUGGUGGAAGUGCAAAAACUUCAAAUGCGGCGGAGGAAAAGAAAUUAGCACGGCAAAAUGUGUGGCAUUCUGUCUAUUUUUUUGUUGGCUAUGUGUUACUGCUCAGAUUGGCUCCAAAGGCAUUAAUCCUGAAAUCAUUUAUGUAAUCUUCAACAAGAAGAAGGCCUGCUGAUGAAAUUAUGAGAAAAAA